CCGCUGCCGGCCAGGCUUUCCACGCGGGCGCGCUCACCACGGUCGCCAUCGAGUCCUAGGUGAAUUUGCUUAGUGGAACUUGCAUGCUCAACUAAUUUUUGCCAUGACAAAAUGCAUUAAAUCAAUAUAAUUGACACAUGUUUUUUUGGCAGGAGAGGCUAUUGCACCAUCCUCGAGUCAUUCAUUGCGUGUCUCUGCCUAGCUAGCUAGCCAUCGAGCCCUAGAGCUUAGCACCGGCUCCUAGUUACCAUCGCGGGCCUCCGCCACCGGGCCACUUGUGUCACCCACCUCAGUUUGCAGGACGUAUAGCAAGGUGAGGCAUAUAAGACUCCCCUUUUCGUACCGCAUGUUCGUAUAUCACGUAAUCUAGUUAGGCGCCUUCCGUUCGAAAUAGAUAUGGAUGGAAAUAUGCAGAACUUUAGGCCCAGAUGGAAGCAGCCUUCCAAGCACGGCAGGAGGCGGCAGAGGAGAGGUGGAGGGCCGAGCGGGACGACAUCCAGCAAAAAUUGGAUCAAACUCUAACAUUUAUGCAAAGCCUGGGCUCGCCGAUGGGUGUUUCGCCUCCACAAUUCCCUCCGGCCCCACUUGUUCGUCGUGCAGAAACUCCUCCUACCAAUCAGUCGGCGGCAUCCAAUGAUGGGCCAGUGAAUCCUGACUUCUCGCCUCCGGUGCAGCAGACUCAACAGCCUCAGCAGUUUGUGUGGCCACCGCCUUAAUGGGUGGCUUGGAUUCAGCAGCAGCAGCAGCCAGGUUGGUCGCAGACGCCUACAUGGCCGCCCCCGCAGAUGUGGCCGCAGCACCCGCCACCGCCGCCGCCAUCGGCCCCGUGAGUUAUGUUGUAUGGACUUGCUUUGUACCACUUUUAUGGAUUUGUUUGAACUUGAUUUGUAUGAACUCGACCAGUACUUGUGGUUGUCGAUGAACGAAACAAGACUUUAUUUGU